GGGCGAUUAGCUCAUUUGGCUAGAGCGUCGCAUUGACGUUGCGAAGGUGAUAGGUUCGAAUCCUAUAUCGCCCACCA
rnacentral:tRNA from 2 species